UCCUUUUCUAGUUACAACUUGGCAUUCAAAAGAAGUCCUUUUGAUCUUUUUAUAAACAUUCCUCUUCUCCUCUUUAAUUCCAGAAUUUUGAGGUUCCUGUUGGAUCAAUAACAAAGCAAGCAAAGGGUAUUCUCAGAAUUCUCAUCAACAAAAAGGGAUUUUGAGCUUCCUGUUGGAUCAUUAACAAAGCAAGCAGAGGAUAUUCUCAGAAUUUUCCUCAAGUAAAAGGAAUUUUGAGCUU